rfam:Triticum aestivum genome assembly, contig: Triticum_aestivum_CS42_TGACv1_scaffold_148731_2BS
AUCAUACUCCCUCCGUCCGGAAAUACUUGUCGGAGGAAUGGAUGUAUCUAGACGUAUUUUAAUUCUAGAUACAUCCAUUUUUAUGCAUUUUUUCGACAAAUAUUUCCGGACGGGGCGAGUACUAC